rnacentral:rRNA from 1 species
UACAGAGGUCUCAAGCGUUGUUCGGAUUCAUUGGGCGUAAAGGGUGUGUAGGUGGCGCCGUAAGUCGGGUGUGAAAUUUCGGAGCUUAACUCCGAAACUGCAUUCGAUACUGCCGUGCUUGAGGACUGGAGAGGAGACUGGAAUUCAUGGUGUAGCAGUGAAAUGCGUAGAGAUCAUGAGGAAGACCAGUGGCGAAGGCGGGUCUCUGGACAGUUCCUGACACUGAGACACGAAGGCCAGGGGAGCAAACGGG